rnacentral:rRNA from 1 species
UACGUAGGUGUCAAGCGUUGUCCGGAUUUAUUGGGCGUAAAGCGCCCGCAGGCGGCUUGCCAAGUCUGACGUGAAAUCUCCCGGCUCAACUGGGAGGGUGCAUCGGAAACUGGCAGGCUUGAAGGCAGGAGAGGGAAGUGGAAUUCCCGGUGUAGUGGUGAAAUGCGUAGAUAUCGGGAGGAACACCAGUGGCGAAGGCGACUUCCUGGCCUGUUCUUGACGCUGAGGCGCGAAAAGCUAGGGUAGCAAACGGGG